UUGAUUGGUAUUAGAUUUGGUAUUUUCAUCGAAUCCCGGGAUUCUCUCAUUUUUCCUUGUAGAUGACGACUGCUAUGGAAUUCUACGAACGUGAAAUCAAUUUUAGUUCAUAUUUGUUUCAUCCGCCGAUUCUGUAUGAAGAACAUAGCUAUGGAUAUGCCGGAUAGAGAAGGUAUAGAUUUAAUUGUCAUCAUGUAAAUCGUUCAGUCCAUUUUUGUGGUUUUAUAUUAGUAUAUUUCUUCGACGAUUUUCGAAUCUGAUUCUGUUUGUUUAUUCAUCAUAUGUUCAAAUCAUACUUCGGGAAUAUGUAAAUAUAUGGUAUGUUAAAAAAUAAUCAAUUCGCAUGUUUGUUGGAGAUUUGCCCUCUCCUAAUUAGUGUUGUAAAUUAUAACUAAAAAAUCAUGAUCAUUGAUUUGGCUAAUUCUGCGAUCUUAAUGCUUCUUUAAUAAUGUAGGGUUAAAAUCAAUUUGUGCAAUUAUGUAUGAUAGUUGGGAAGUAUAUGAUAUAUUUGAUGACCAACGAUUAAGAACAUGAUAUUUCGAAAGGAGAAAGAAACACCUGCCAAAUCGUCGAGUUUGAAUGUGGUUCGUCAUUUUCUUUUCGAUUUUUGUAGUGUUUGCCCCAUUUUUUGUGUAGAAUGCGUGAUGAAAUGUUUGAACUAUGUAUAAUAGUUGCUCAACUUGUUGGAUUUCCAUCGAAUUUCGCUAGUGGCUCGAAUUCCCUUUUCAUGUGAUGAGUUCCAAUUGUUUGAUUAAUUUCCCCAAUGGGCUUCCUUUUGCCUUUGUUAGGGUGGGAAGUGGUGAUUUUCGUACUGUUGAAGUUAUUAUUCAAUAAAUUCAAUAUUUUUUUAGCUUAAUAAGGUUUUUAUAUUUGAUUGUCAUGUUUAAUGCGUGAUGAUAGGCAAUUUUGCUUGAGUUGGAUUUUGAAUGGAUACUACCUGGUGAGUACUAUUUUAGCAUCCCUAAUGGCUCUCUCUUCUUUUUACAAUUAAUCAAUAUGAAUACGCAAGAUUAUAGGUUUGGUUUAAGAAAUAUGAGAAUUUUUUGUGAGAUAUGUUGUUUCUUUUGUUCUGCAAAUGCACGUGUCAUUGUCUUUCUUAUUAUUGCUGACUAAUUUUAGUUCGAGUAUUAUAUGUUUUCAAUGUUUAGUAAGUAAUUCAUUCAUGUUCGAACGUGUCAUUGUCUUUCUUAUUAUUGGUGACUAAUUCUAGUUCGAGUAUUAUAUGUUUUCAAUGUUUAGUAAGUAAUUCAUUCAUGUUCGAAUUAGAAUUGCAGGUCCACCAGGAUAUCGUUAAUGUUGAUGAAGGUAAUCGUUGUAAAAUGUCCAGUAUAUAUUUGUUGAAUACGCGUUUUUAUAUCUAAUGUUUAAUUCACUAUAGAUACACCAAUGGAUAUGUUCAUUUCUCCGCUUAAGAAACGCACGAAGUGGCCUGUCAAACUUCAAUAUUUGUUGAUAAUAUUUGGGGUGGCAUUAUAAUAAAUAUGUGGUAAACUGAAUCAUGAAACUUUAAUAUUUGUUGUCCUAGUGAUAACUAUAGUUUUUGUACGUUCUGGAUUAUGUUGAAAUGAUGUCGUCAUUAAUGUUAUGUUCACAGACACACGAGAUGAAGUUCAAGAUAAUGAUAAUGAUAAUGAAGGUUCAAGAGAAAAAUAAACCAUUUAUAUUGUUCCAAAUUUUUUUUACGCAUACUUUUGUUGACUAAUUAUUUAAUUCUCUAUCCAAAUGGGUGUCCUCACAAUGAACGAGCCAAAAAGAAAACUAAGAUCGCUUCCAAGAGGGCAAAAGGAAAAGGUAAUAUUCUUAUGAAGCUAAAUACUAUAUUGUUUAAAUGUUAUAUGUGUGAAAACAUCAAGAGAUAUACUCUGGUAUGUAGAAAUAUGUCCCCUCCAAAAAAAAAAAGGUAAUAUGUAGCACUAGCAGAUAUAUAAGUUGCUUUAUGAAACAAAACUUGGUAAAACAUAUCUCCUUAAAAUAUUAGUGAAACAUUCUCAUGUUUAAACAGUUGCCGAAAUAGAUGUUCAAGACAAAGAGUUAUCAGGUUCGACAAAAAAUGCCUUUAUAGUAUAUAAAUACAUUUUAAAUUUAGUUUCUUGAACAUAUUUUUUCAAUAACGCUUGGUGUAUCUACUUAGAUGGUUGCCCUCCAAAUUUACCAAAUACCAAGAGAACUAGGUUGUCUUUGCACAGAGAAGAAGCCAAACAGAAAGAUGGCAUUUAAAGACAUUCAUGGGAGAUGGCUCGUCAAGAUGGAAGUGCAUGUCGAUCGUGUCGACAAACAAACAACUUCGAGUGACGUGUGAGAUAUUGUACUACUAUACUGAUUUGGAAAGAAAAUCUGCAUAGUGGGGAUGUUGCGAAGCAAGCCUCUGAGUGUUACAUUGAAAAUUGCAUGAACACAAAAUUCAAUGUAAACUUAUUGCUAAUUGGUUAACUAUAUAUACAACAGUUUGACUGACAUUUUUUGUCAAUGUGGUAGGAUUUUGGGAAUAUUGUUUUAGCAUAUUUGGUUAGGAAGUAGUACUUUAUUUCCGACUUUGCUUACGCUGGAGACUAUAUCUGAACUACCUAUGUGAUAUUUUAAUGAUCAUCUAUC